CCCUUAGAUGUCCUGGGCCGCACGCGCGUUACACUGAUGCAUUCAACGAGCUUAUAACCUUGGCCGAGAGGCCUGGGCAAUCUUGUUAACGUGCAUCGUGAUAGGGAUAGAUUAUUGAAAUUAUUAAUCUUGAACGAGGAAUUCCUAGUAAACGCAGAUCAUCAAUCUGCAUUGAUUACGUCCCUGCCCUUUGUACACACCGCCCGUCACACCUACCGAUUGGAUGGUCCGGUGAAGCCUCGGGAUUGUGGUUCUUGCCGCUUUGUUGUGGCGUGACCGCGAGAACUUGUCUAAACCUUAUCAUCUAGAGGAAGGUGAAGUCGUAACA
rnacentral:rRNA from 1 species